GGCUCUCAUGGCGAAAUCCCCCGCUCACCCGAAGUUCUACUUUCGAUCGCUCGAUCUCCUUGAUCUCGAGCCUCCUCCCGUUCUCCCCUCGGAUUGACGAUCUUCCGAGUGACCCCCAAGUCGUCGAACGCCGCUCUCUGUCGUUUGAGGUGGAUUCGUUCGGCCCUCUUCUCGAAUAUAGAGAACCCUAAUCUUGAUCUUUUGGUCUUGGUCUCUUUGUGGAUCUCCCUUGCUUUCGUCGGAGUUCUGCUCAGCUUUCCUUUGCUGAUCGGGGCGAGUUCAUUUGGUCGAGACGAGUUCGAGAUGCACCCUCGAACGGGUACGAUCCCCAAUUUCUACGAGCUGCAGCAGAGCCAGCAAUGGUUGAGGGGAAAUCAGAUGGGAGGCGAUUCUCGUGCUGCUGAAGUAGUGGAAUUUGUUCAAUCUAAGUAGAUCAAUCGGAAGCCACAAUUUGAAAGAGUUCCUUAUGGUGCCUGCCUGGUUGAUGGAUAUUUGCGUGCUCUUUGACUAUCUCAUUAAGCUUAUCGAGCACGUCAGUUUGGAUUCGGUGUUGGUGAAGUUGUCAGAGGUAUUUAACACGCCAGAAGAAUAAAAAGCAGCGGCCUUUGUCAUGAGAUCUAUUGUUCUUCUUGGUCAUAGAUCGGGUAGGAUACUCUCGGGUUCCUGUCUUUGGGUUUGGCCUUCGAGAAGCCUUUGCAGCAAUCAGUGCGGAAAGGAUGACGGGUUUCCAAAAGAUAGCAGCAAGAAAGUUGAUCCUGGGCAUCUUGGAAUUUCUCCAGAAAGGGUCCGUAGAGACAAAGAAGCAUUUCCCUCAAAGGAUGCUGAAGAAAGAUUGGAUUUUGCAGAUAAUAAGUUUGAUUUUGGGGGAAAUAAUGAGGAAGAGUUGGAGUGUGGACACCUCCCUGAGGAGACCCUUCUUGGUUUCUCAAUUGGUGGUACAGACACAGCAGAUGAUGAUGAUCAGAGCGAUCGCCGUGGCAACAUUAAUCCUCGACGGAGGUUUAUAGAGGGUAAUAAGGCUGAAGCUGACAGGGUGUUUGAGAUCUUACAACAGGAUGGGCCUGCAUUCAAUGUCCGGUCAGCACUAGAUGAGCUGCAUUUGCAUGUCUCCAAUGCAUUGGUGAGAGAAGUUCUUCUCCGCAUUCUUAUGUCUAUAAAUGGUGCCAACAGGUUGCGGUGUGCCAAAUUGGCCUAUAAGUUCUUUGUGUGGUCGGGUCAACAGAUGGACUACAGGCAUAACACUAACAGCUAUAAUCUUACCCUGAAAGUUUUUGCAGAAGCUAAGGAAUUGAAAGCCAUGUGGAGACUGAUGGAUGAGAUUAUCGAGAAGGCAUUGCCAAUCACUGCACGCACAUUUAUAAUAUUGAUUUGCACUUGUGGAGAGGCUGGCAUGGCCAGGAAGGUGGUCGAGAGGUUUAUAAAAUCCAAAAAUUUUAUCUACCGGCCUUUCAAGCACUCCUUCAAUGCAAUUCUCCAUUCUCUUCUAACUGUGAAUCAGUAUUGGUUGGUAGAGUGGGUUCAUCAAAAGAUGCUGCUCGAGGGGUACUCGCCAGAUGUUUUGACCUAUAAUGUCGUCAUGCGUGCUAAAUACAUGCUAGGAAAGUUGGAUCAGUUCCAUAGAUUGCUUGAUGAGAUGGGGAAAAAUGGGUUUGCUCCCGACCUCCACACGUAUAAUCUCAUGCUCCAUGUGCUUGGGAAAAGUAAUAAACCACUUUCUGCACUUAAACUUUUAAACUAUAUGAACGAUGUAGGCUGCCAUCCUAGUGUUCUUCAUUUUACCACUUUGAUUGAUGGGCUUAGUCGUGCUGAGAAUGUUGAUGCUUGCAAAUACUUUUAUGAUGAGAUGGUUAAGAAAGGGUGUGAACCAGAUGUAGUAUGUUAUACUGUGAUGAUAACUGGCUAUGUAAUUGCAGGAGAGUUUGAUAAGGCACAGGAAAUAUUUCAAGAUAUGUUAAUCAGCGGGCAACUUCCAAAUGUUUUUACAUACAAUGCUAUUAUCCGUGGGUUUUGCAUUACUGGGAAGUUUGACGAGGCAUGUUCCAUGUUGAAGGAUAUGGAUACAAGGGGCUGCACUCCAAACUUCUCAGUAUACAGCAGUUUAGUUGCAAGAUUAAGAAAUGCAGGAAAGGUUUCUCAAGCAAAUGAUAUAAUCAACUAUAUGGUAGAGAAAGGUCACUAUCUUCAUUUAGUAUCAAGGUUCAAGGGUUACAGAAGACGUUAGCUGAAAUUGUAUGAAUGGCCAUUUGUGAACUGUGGAUACCAUUCUUUUUAGCUAAAUGGUGUUUGCAGGAGUUGAAGUAACAGAGACUAUUUACCUCAAGCAUCUUAUGAGGAUUAGAUCCUCAAGCUUAUCUUGUUUCUCUUUUAUCUUUAGUAUCUUAGGCAGCAAAGAAAGAGAAAAUGGUUCCAAUGGUUGUUCUUUUCGGAUCAUAACUUAUCAAGGAAGUACUAUUAGGUAGUUAUUGAAGAUAUACUAGAUGUUCUGAUAUAGUGUCAUUAGAGGAGUACUUUUCCUCAGAAACUUAUAACACAAUUGGGACAAUGGAAGGAAGGAUAUGGCAAUUUGAAAGGAGAAUAACAGAAAAAUCAGGUUGGACAAUCCCAUGCUUUCGUGUACUUUCUCUUAUUCUGAUUGUUAGAUAUUCAAUUUUCCUUUUUAUUGUUCAUUAAACCAAGUUCAUUUUACCUAACUUGGAAAUAAUGCUUUGCUGGGGCUUAUAUC